rnacentral:rRNA from 1 species
GACGAACGCUGGCGGCGUGCUUAACACAUGCAGGUCGAACGGAAAGGCCCUGCUUGCAGGGUGCUCGAGUGGCGAACGGGUGAGUAACACGUGGGUGAUCUGCCCCUUACUUUGGGAUAAGCCUGGGAAACUGGGUCUAAUACUGGAUAGGACCAUGCUGUAGGUGGUGUGGUGGAAAGAUUAGUUUCGGUAAGGGAUGAGCUCGCGGCCUAUCAGCUUGUUGUUGGGGUAAUGGCCUACCAAGGCGUCGGCGGGUAGCCGGCCUGAGAGGGUGGACGGCCACGUUGGGACUGCGAGACGGCCCAGACUCCUGCGGGAGGCAGCAAUGGGGAAUAUUGUAAAAGGGGCGCAAGGCUGAUGCAGCGACGCCGCGUGGGGGAUGACGGCCUGCGGGUUGUAAACUCCUUUCAGCCAUGACGAAGCCCUUGUGGUGACGGUAGUGGUAGAAGAAGCACCGGCUAACUACGUG